ensembl:lncRNA
CGGAAUGGUCCAGGGUCAACAGUACCAUAAUUACUUUCAAAUGUCAGCCUACAAUAAAAUACAACAGUUCAUCUGGCAGAGAGCAAAUUAGCUUUGACCAUGGCGUAAUUACCCUUUCCAGAAGAACCAUUAGCAGAGAUCAAAUCUGCCCGUCCAGUGUUUGAGGAAAGGCCAUCAGAGUACACUCCACCUGACAAGGAUGCACAUUUGCCAUUUUGCAAGGCUGCUUCCUGGCAUGCCGAUUAGCAGGGCGAGAGCCGCGUGAUGAGGAGAGGGAGAGGAGCCGGGCCUGGGAGCCAACUUUCUCCAGAGCUGUGAAUGGAGGAUUAAGCUCAGGGAGCCGGGCAUGGACAGGUGCCCAGCCGAGAUGCAGAGCUUCCCAGGUAAAAAUGGGCUUCCAGCUUGGCAUGCAGACAAACAUAAACUUAC